UACAAAUUCCUCACGCCCCACCUGAAGAUGAUACAAAGAGUUUUUAUAAACUGCCUCCAGCAUUGCCUGGGUUGGCCAGUACCCACCUAGUCUUGUCCCUUCCCCCAACCUCUCCAGUACUGCGUCACAAACGUUCACCAAGCUGUCUUAGCAGUGGCCAGACCCCACCUCCAGCGACAAGGCUAACCAUCUGCACCCGGAUUGGCUGUUGUCCUGGGCAACGGAGAACGCAGUGGAUACGUCAGGCGCUCAGAGGGUAUUUAAGAGCUGCCGCUGCCCCGGUCUCCUCAGUCCGGCCAGGACGGCCACCGUGAAGCACCUGGGUUGAGAGGGAGCAGCCACGUGAACGCGCACCGCCUGCCUCCCCAGUCCCCAGCCCGUGCCUCUGCAGAGAGCUUUGGAUCUUCCUCAGAAGAACAUGAAGUUGCUUCUGUGGAACUGAUUCUCUGCCAUGGCCUCAGCAAUCCAUAUCCCAUGCACGGGCAGGAUUCCCCAUGGUCACAAGUCAACUUGCACAUCUAGUUAAAAUCCAAGGUUCACAUUAAUGAAAGAAAUUGAAACCGAUCACUUUGGU